UAGGGAAUAUUGCACAAUGGAGGAAACUCUGAUGCAGCGAUGCCGCGUGAGUGAAGAAGGCCUUUGGGUUGUAAAGCUCUUUCGUCGGGGAAGAAAAUGACGGUACCCGAAUAAGAAGGUCCGGCUAACUUCGUGCCAGCAGCCGCGGUAAUACGAAGGGACCUAGCGUAGUUCGGAAUUACUGGGCUUAAAGAGUUCGUAGGUGGUUAAAAAAGUUGGUUGUGAAAUCCCGAAGCUUAACUUCGGAACUGCAAUCAAAACUUUUUAGCUAGAGUAUGAUAGAGGAAAGCAGAAUUUCUAGUGUAGAGGUGAAAUUCGUAGAUAUUAGAAAGAAUACCAAUUGCGAAGGCAGCUUUCUGGAUCAUUACUGACGCUGAGGAACGAAAGCAUGGGUAGCGAAGAGG
rnacentral:rRNA from 3 species